ensembl:ncRNA ZK836.16 ncRNA
GGUGUCACAUUAAAAUAAUGAGCAAAAAGAGAAGAACUGGAGAGGUUGUGAAGUGCUCCGCAAUUUCCUGAAUCCAAGACCCAAGCAUUCAAUUUCCCACCCAUCUAUUUACAA